GAGCAAAAUUAUAAGGGUACCAAUAUUAUGAUUCUCAAAUAUAAUUAUACGACUACAAGUUAUAUAUGAUUGUUUUUCAACUUAUUUGUUACACUUGCACGCACUCACAAUAACCAUGAAAACACCAUGAAAUUUUAGGAAGUUCACACAUAAGUUUCGAACAAUCAGCGCGAGCUUUGCAUGGAGCCAUUCUCAAAGCUCUAAUGGCUAAGAAAAAUAAAAUAAUUGUUAUUAAAAGGUGAUGGAAUAUCUUAUAUAAGAGAAAUUAGAUAUUUGAAAAUAGCGUGAAAAAUGACUUACUACUUUUAGUUGGGAUGAAAAAGACAAAAAGAAUGAUGAUAAAAACAUAAAACAUAUAUUGAAUUUGAGCCAUAUUUUUUCUCCUUUGCAUUU
rnacentral:lncRNA from 1 species